GAGGGUAUUGCUCAGUGGUAGAGCACAUGCCUAGCAUGCCUGAGGUCAUGGGUUCAAUCCCCAGUAUUUCCU
rnacentral:tRNA from 1 species